UACCCGAUGAAAAGUCUCUUGGAAUAGAGCAUCACAGAGGGUGAUAAUCCCGUAUUUUAUCGUGAUUUGGUCGUCGUGUGUAGUAAUUUCAAAGAGUCGAGUUGUUUGGGAUUGCAGCUCAAAACGGGUGGUAAAUUCCAUCUAAGGCUAAAUAACGGCAAGAGACCGAUAGCGAACAAGUACCGUGAGGGAAAGAUGAAAAGAACUUCGAAAAGAGAGUUAAACAGUACGUGAAAUUGUUGAAAGGGAAACGAUUGAGGCCAGUCAUGCCUGCGAGAAAUCAAUUAGUCGAUCGGAUUCUUGAAUCUGUUUGGCUGGUGCACUUUUUCGCGUGGCAGGUUAGCAUCAACUUUGAUGGUUGUAAAAUGGUGGUCGGAAGGUGACUCUUUUUUAGAGUGUUAUAGCCGGCUGCAGAUGCAACGAUCGGGGUUGAGGUUUGCGGCAAAUGCCUUUGGGCUACUUACCUUCCUUCUGAUCUGUUCACUUUGAAAUGACAGCUUGCUGAUAUUUUAGAGGGCGUUCAAUCAAUAGGGUAGAGUAGGAUAAAUUUGCCAAGGAUGCUGACGUAAUGACCUUGAACGACCCGUCUUGAAACACGGACCAAGGAGUCUAACAUACGUGCGAGUGUUUGGGUGGCAAACCCAUGCGCGAAAUGAAGGUGAACGUAGGUGGGAUCUGUCGUUUACGCGACAGUGCAGCAUCGACC
rnacentral:rRNA from 1 species